rnacentral:tRNA from 1 species
UGACGUGUAGCUCAAUCGGCAGAGCAUCCGGCUGUUAACCGGACGGUUGAUGGUUCGAGUCCAUCCAUGUCAGCCA